ensembl:snRNA U2 U2 spliceosomal RNA
AUCGCGUCUCCACCUUUUGGCUAAGAUCAAGUGUAGUAUCUGUUCUUAUCAGUUUAAUAUCUGAUAUGUUCUCUAUAUGAGGACUAAAUACUAAAUUGAUUUUUAGAACAGGGAGACAGAAGAGGGGCUUGCUCCGUCCGCUCCACGCAUUGACCUGGUAUUGCAGUACGUCCGGGAACAAUGCAAAGGGG